UCCAUCGAUAAAUUUGACACUGAACUCUACGACAGCGAAAUAUAAUAAUCACUAAUCCCAAUGGACGCACAUGAUAGAUUGACGGGCUAAUGUAACGGACUAAGUUCACUUAUGAUAGAUUACAAUGUUUUUAAGGAGAGUGCGUGCGCUCAAUACCCAAACAUUAUGAGCUGCUCUGUCCUUGCUUCUUUAUGUUGUCAUACCUGUGUGAACCAGACUACGACCGGAAUCCAAUACUGCACUGUAUCAGACAUAUAGUCAGACUCACCUUAAUACCUGCAGUCAACGACUCCACGACAACCACACCCGACGAUGAAGACACGUCCACUACAGUUGGUGAUCAUCCCUGAAUACGCCAGGCCUGAAAACUCAUUAAAGUAGUACAUAUUGUCAGUGAUAACGAUGAAUGAUGAAAGACACCUGUAACUCGGAUGUGUCAUGCAUAGUGAGUUCAGUUCGGUACCGGUGAGCAGUGAGAUUAUUUACUGAUUUAUAUACUAAAUAAAUAAAGUUCUGAGUCCAUUCGGCUGACACCAUUGCUCUUUCUAUUUCGGCCGUGAAACGUUGCAGUCUGAAGGCUGAUGCCUCAAAACGGUCUCACGAUUGGAAAUCUGGAUAUGGAUUAUACGGAAACAGAAAUAAUGCGAUUUUUAUAACAAAAAAAAAGAAAUGUAAUGAAAUAUAAUUUGGGUAAG